AGGGUUCAGUUUUGUAAAUAGCUAAUUCAUUUGGCUGGAUUGUCUUGAACAUCCAAGUUAUUGUAUUUUGGACUGAAAUGACCUAACUGUCAUGGCUGUGGCUUUACGCAAAAUUUCUCCGUGGCGAUUUGUCAGGGCAGUCCAAGUCGCAUACAUUCCCACGCUGAAGCUGCACAUGACUGGUUCUAUGAUGGGGGCGACGGUGGAGCAAUUCAAUCAUGCCAAGAGUCAAAUGGGCACGCUGAAGGAAGACCCUGGCAAUGAGGCCAAGCUGAAAAUCUAUGCUCUCUUCAAACAGGCUACUCAGGGACCCUGUAACACCCCAAAGCCAGGGAUGCUUGACUUUAUCGGCAAGGCCAAAUGGGAUGCCUGGAAGUCUCUGGGUUCUGUAUCUCAGGAGGAUGCCAGACAGCAGUAUGUGGACCUGAUCGAUUCUCUGCUGGCUGCUGAGGGGCCUGCGGUAGCCGCACAGCCCACUGGGAGCGCUGCUACCUUUGAGACGCUGCUGGUCUCCACGGAGGACAACAUGACCACUAUCCGCCUCAACAGGCCACAGAAGAAAAACGCCAUCACCGUGGAGAUGUACAACGAGAUCAUCAAGGCUUUGGAGCAAGCUGGCAAAGAUGACUCUGUCAUUACUGUAAUCACAGGUAGUGGAGACUUCUACUGCAGUGGCAAUGACCUGACAAACUUCACCAAAAUCCCGGAGGGCGGAAUCGAGCAGAUGGCAAAGAAUGCAGGCGAGUUGCUAAGGGAGUUUGUCAAAGCGUUCAUCGACUUCCCUAAGCCCCUGAUUGCAGUGGUCAAUGGUCCGGCUGUGGGCGUGUCUGUCACUCUACUGGGCCUGUUCGAGAUUGUCUAUGCCACAGAGAGGGCUACAUUCCACACCCCCUUCAGCCAGCUGGGACAGAGCCCAGAAGGCUGCUCCUCCUACACCUUCCCUAAAAUGAUGGGCAAUGCAAAGGCCAGUGAGAUGCUGCUGUUCAACAAGAAGCUGACUGCCGUCCAAGCGUGUGCCCAGGGCCUGGUGACCGAGGUCUUCCCUGACAGCAGCUUCCAGACCGAGGUGGCCACCAGACUCAAGGCCUACGCCAAGCUGCCCAGAAAUUCCCUAGCCCUGUCCAAACAACUGAUCCGUGGGACAGAGAAGGAACAUCUCCACACUGUCAACGACCAGGAGGUGGAGCGCCUGGUGGAGCGCUGGCUCUCAGACGAGUGCAUGCAGGCCAUCAUGAGCUUCUUCCAGGCUAAGGCUAAGCUGUGAGGAUGUCCUCCCCCAGAGACCCACAGACAGACCACCUAACCAGAGUCAUGCUCAUUAGUACAGCUCCAGCCUAGAUUCACUAACCUGUAAGAAGAGAUGUCAAUGGGAUAAAGCCUGUAACCAUGCUGAGCCUUGAGCUGAUGCCUUUUUUCAGAUGGUUUUGUAAAUUAAUUAUAAUAUUAGUAUUAUUAUUGUACCGUAUGAACACCCAACAUCCUGUUCUGUAGAUUUUUAACUGUUGAUCUUGAUUGUUUUGCAAUUAACAUAUCUGGGCAUUCCAUAUUUGGAAACGCCAGUGAAGUUAACUGCCAAAAUAAAGGAAACACCAUCAUAAAGUGCCUUAAUAGGACGUAGGGUCAUUAACUCAGCAAACACACCUGUGUGGAAGCACCUGCUUUCAAUAUACUUUGUAUCCCUCAUUUAUGCAAGUGUUUCCAUUAUUUUGGCAGUUACCUGUAACUUACAUGGACUAAGCUUCCAAGAGGUGCAUAUGGUAAAUUGAAGGUGGGUAGUGCCUUACAGUCCAAAAAACUGAGCUUAGCAAAGAGGAUUGUGUUUUGCACUGUCCAAUGGUAAUUUAUAUGCACUCAAAAGUAUUCUUGGAGAUGGCAUCAUUGUUUCACACACAUAUCUGUUUGAUUACAGUAAUAAAUACAUUUUGGAGCAAAAAAAAUGUCAA